rnacentral:rRNA from 1 species
UAAUUCGAAGCAACGCGAAGAACCUUACCAGGUCUUGACAUCCCGAUGACCGGUUCGUAAUGGAACCUUCUCUUCGGAGCAUUGGAGACAGGUGGUGCAUGGUUGUCGUCAGCUCGUGUCGUGAGAUGUUGGGUUAAGUCCCGCAACGAGCGCAACCCUUAUCCUCAGUAGCCAGCAGGUAAAGCUGGGCACUCUGUGGAGACUGCCAGGGAUAACCUGGAGGAAGGUGGGGAUGACGUCAAAUCAUCAUGCCCCUUAUGAUCUGGGCUACACACGUGCUACAAUGGCGUAAACAAAGGGAGGCAAAGCCGCGAGGUGGAGCAAAUCCCAAAAAUAACGUCUCAGUUCGGACUGCAGUCUGCAACUCGACUGCACGAAGCUGGAAUCGCUAGUAAUCGCGAAUCAGAAUGUCGCGGUGAAUACGUUCCCGGGUCUUGUACACACCGCCCGUCACACCAUGGGAGUUGGUAACGCCCGAAGUCAGUGACCCAACCUUUCAGGAGGGAGCUGCCGAAGGCGGGACUGAUAACUGGGGUGAAGUCGUAACAAGGUAGCCGUAUCGGAAGGUGCGGCUGGAUCACCUCCUUUCUAAGGAA